CCCACUACCACACGUUAUGCACUCGAGUUUCCCACAUUUGGGGAAAUCGCAGGGGUCAGCAUAUCCAGAGUGCAAUGGGUAACCCUUGCCCUGGGAAAAACAUCUUCGUGAUCACAGUAACUCUCCUGCCAGAGACUGCAGAAGCAGGGGAAGCUGGAGAGGGAAAAGCAGGCUCCCUGCUGAGCAGGGAGCCCAAGGAGGGACUUGAUCCUGGCACUCUGGAAUCAUGACCUGAGCUGACGGCACUUACCCAACCGAGCCACCCCAGCGCCUUGGCCUAAACAUUUUCCACAAAACAUCUCAAUUAACUCUUACCACGACCCUCCUAGUACUCAGGAGACUUCGUAGAGGACAGGUUUGUUCAUGAAUCUUGAGCAGCGUGGACAAGCUAUGGCCCACAGCCCAAACCCAGCCCACCGUCUGCUUUGGUACAUUGCAUGAGGCCUUCAGUGGGUUGCACGAGGCCACCAGCUCCGGGAAAGGAAAUCUGCUUUACUCCGUCCACUGAUCCAAAUGUCUCGUCUCACCCAGAACUCCCCGCAUGGACUCCCCAGAAUAACGUAAAACCAAAUGCCUGGCGACCCCACAGCCCGAGUCAAGCUGACACAUAAACUUCACCAUCACAAGAGCCUACUGUUGUGAUCUCCCUCCCAGCUCACCAGCACACAGGACGCUCAGAUCCUCGGAGGUAAGAGAACCAAGUCCUGGAUGGUAAGACUGUCUUGAGUUCCCAGGGAGAAGAGUUUCCUUUCCUGAAGUGUGUUCUGACUGCAAAAGGCAACUUGGAACAGCAGAUACUUGUCGAGUGGGGGACAUAAUCUUUCUCCAUUUGAUCAGCCCAGUUUCCCACGCCCAUCCCUACCUCCUGGCAUGCUUAGAACUUCAGGAGGAUCUUUCCACUCAGAGGUCCAGCCUGCAAUGUUCUCCAUCCUCUCUCCUUCUCCCUCCAGUUCCCUACCCCUCCCUCUUUCCUUCCCCCCCACCCCGAACUCCUC